GGCGGUUGGGCCCGCCCACCUGGCCCGCGGGGCGCUGACCCACUGCCCUCGGCGCCUCCCCCGCUCCUCCUCCUCGUGGUUCGUUCCGCUGCGCACUCCGGGCUACGGAAGGCGCGUCCAUGUGACCGGGGAGGCGGGGCAGGACGUGGCCCGGGAGUCGCUCGCCCACGCUGCGCCCCGCCCAUUCGCACCUGGGCUGGGGCAAGGACCUGCGGCCGCUGAGUGACCCGCAAGGUCGAAGGACCUUUUCCUGCUCCCAGAGGCUUGGGGCCAGAUCCUGAUGGGACAGGGCGGCUCCCGAGUCCUGUGCUCGGGGAUUUCCAACUCAGAGUGGAAACCCGGGCAGCUUAGUUCUUUGCUGCCCUUCCUGGAAGUCCCAAAUAAAUGGCGUGUGCAUCUUCGCGAAAGAUGGGGCAGCUUCGGCCUGGAGAGGAGGGAUCUGCCCAUGGCGGUCCUGAGAAUCAGCUGCGGACUCCAGGCCACUACGGUCCAUCGUGCCUCAGUAUCCGUGAGGGAUUGGUUGGUUCCAGGACACCCCCACACACCCCAGGAGACUGAAAUCUGCGGAUGCUCAAGUCCCUGUUAUAAAAUGGUGUAGUAUGUGCAUAUAACCUAUGCAUAUCCUUCUGUAUACUAUAAAUCAUCUCUCUAUACAAACUUA